AGCGGUUCUCAGGUGACGCACCCUGGAACCAGAGAAGGGGGAGCCUGAUUCCAGGGUGCAUCACCCGAGAACCGCC
rfam:Myotis davidii contig196494, whole genome shotgun sequence.